AUUGAACGCUGGCGGAAUGCUUUACACAUGCAAGUCGAACGGCAGCACGGGAGCUUGCUCCUGGUGGCGAGUGGCGAACGGGUGAGUAAUGCAUCGGAACGUACCUAUUAGUGGGGGAUAACUAUCCGAAAGGAUAGCUAAUACCGCAUACGUCCUGAGGGAGAAAGCGGGGGAUCGCAAGACCUCGCGCUAAUAGAGCGGCCGAUGUUGGAUUAGCUAGUUGGUGGGGUAAAGGCCUACCAAGGCGACGAUCCAUAGCUGGUCUGAGAGGAUGAACAGACACACUGGGACUGAGACACGGCCCAGACUCCUACGGGAGGCAGCAGUGGGGAAUUUUGGGCAAUGGGGGCAACCCUGAUCCAGCCAUUCCGCGUGAGUGAAGAAGGCCUUCGGGUUGUAAAGCUCUUUCGGCAGGAACGAAACGGUGGGUACUAAUACUAGCUACUAAUGACGGUACCUGAAGAAGAAGCACCGGUUAGCUACGUGCCAGCCGCCGCCGUAA
rnacentral:rRNA from 1 species